GGCCACGUGACUGCCCACUCCACUGAACAUUUUUACUUUUUGUGGGUGUUUUGUUUUGCUCUGCGUUUAUUCAUGCUACAAACGAAUUCCAGGCAAUUCUUCCGUCAAAGGUCCGUCUCCUCGCCGCCGUUCGCGUGUCAACCCGCAGGCGAACGUGGCAGUGCACGCGCCUAUCCACGCAUGCUACGACAUGCUUUUGCUCGCUCAGGACUCGGGAGCGCUCUAUCUUUCUCAUCGGCUGAUCUUCAUGCCCACCGCGAAUCAGAACCGGGCAUAUUUGCUGAGGUGUCGCCGCUUAUCCGAUUAGAAUUCCAAGUGAUAGCCUGAAAUGACAAUGCUGCCCCUUCAACUGUCCAGGCCAACCCUUUUCCUUUGCCAUUUCCGUCCUAUCCACGCAUGCUAAGUAUCACUGGGUUUAAUUCAAGCUCUCAGGUGUGGUCCUUCAGAGUUAAUGGGAUCUAUGUCGGAUGCUCAUUAUUGGCGAUCUGAGAUCGAGAUCUUACAGGAAUACAGCCUGUUCCAUGGGGAUUCUACCAUGAAUUACUGGGUCCUGCAAUAUAGAGUAGCUUCAUUUUUCUUUUUGAAAAGCAAUCUUUUUCAUGCCAAUGAAUUUUACAGUUUCGCUAGGAAUACUUCUCGAAUAUUUUCCUCAUGUUUAACUCAUUUCUGAGAAGCGGUGCGAUUUUAGGAAUAAGAUAGUUUCAUUGUGCAACUUCACCGUGUUUUUUUAAUAUUGUACAUGGUGAGUAUGCAACAGUUGCAAACGUGUUGGGUGCUCUACAUGUCGAAUUUCCUUAGUAGAAAUCAAAUGGACAUAGCAUUGCAAUCCUUCAUUUUUUUUCUAUUUUUUUUUUUUCAAUCCUAGAAUUAAAGAGGCCCAUCGAACUCCACGAGAUUUUAUACAAACAUGCAGGACAGACAAAAAAGGAACAACGGAGGACGAAGAGGCGCCUCGUAGGAGAAAAUGACCAUGGGAAAAAAAAACAAGUCGGAGGAGAAGUAAAUAGCGAAAGCUUGGACGCGCCCGAAAGGACAGCGAGGCAAGCCGAGUGGUCGGACCGAUAUAAUCGAUGCAUCAGUCGGUCGGAGUCGACACAUCUCUUUUGUUUUUUCCAUGGAGUCAGGUUGAGGGAGUAUUUCAUCAGCACUCCAAUGUCUAAACUGAGCGGAGAAACCGAGAAGCUAAAGAAAGCGUUUUCGAACCUUAUUUUGCAACCUCGUCCAAGAGACUCCCUGCCGGCAGCGGCAAAGGCAUGCACAUGUUUGCCGGUGGAAAUCUGGGGACGAAAGCCGGACUGAGACCCCACCUGUA
rnacentral:lncRNA from 1 species